rnacentral:rRNA from 1 species
UACGUAGGGGGCAAGCGUUAUCCGGAUUUACUGGGUGUAAAGGGAGCGUAGGCGGUGCAGCAAGUCAGAAGUGAAAGCCCGGGGCUCAACUCCGGGACUGCUUUUGAAACUGUUGAACUAGAUUGCAGGAGAGGUAAGUGGAAUUCCUAGUGUAGCGGUGAAAUGCGUAGAUAUUAGGAGGAACACCAGUGGCGGAGGCGGCUUACUGGACGACUACUGACGCUGAGGCUCGAAAGCGUGGGGAGCAAACAGG